GCUCUAGUGGCACAAUGGUUAAGCACUUGGUUGCUAACCAAAAGGUCGGUGGUUCGAACCCACCCAGGGGCU
rnacentral:tRNA from 1 species